UUUCUUUUUUUUCUUUUCAUUUUAAGAGCAGAAAAUUUGCCCUGGUUUCUGUGACCCAAAUUCUCUUUCCUACUUAUGAGGUAAAGCAUUCUUGCGUGCAUGCUGACUGUCCUCAAAUAUUAGGCUUGAGGCUCUGUGGCCAAUGGGAGGUUAGAUUUCAAUGAAAAGGGAACAGAUGUAGAUUUGGGUUAAGUUUCUUCAGGAUCCUGUGCUGGAAAAGCCCCUUAACACAUUACUGUCAUCAUAGUAACAGCCAAUUCCAUCUGCAUAGUAAUCCUUGCUUUAUUCUUCUUGUCUGAGCCAAGUUACAUUGUGACUCACUCGUCUACCCUCUAAAUCAUUAUUCCCUUUGCUGAAAAAAAGGCAGUCAACUACUGUGGCAACAAGGUAGUUAGUGAACUGGCAAACAGGCCUGCUGUGCUGGUAUUUAAAUGACUGAAGAAUGUUUAGUUUUACCUCCAAGAUAUUUUACUAUUGACGUCUCACCAUCAAUACUAGUAUCUCACACAGGUAUUUCUAGAUUAAACAAUGGGAUCCCACCUGUCUUGACUGGAAAGAGGAAAGCUGACAUUUUUCUUUCAUCAUUUUAAAUAUAUUUCAUAGUCUCAUUCAGACUGUUCUAUCUUAAGCUCUUAGUGGGGGUGGGGACAGUACCAGUCCUCCUCUUUGCAAUGUCUUUUGACUAUCCUUCACAGUGUAUCUUUCUCUCUCUCUCCUGUUAAAUUGUGAGCUCACUUUCAGUAGAGACUUUCUUUUCAGCUGGGGGUCUUGAAGGCCCUAAAUUUAAAACUGUUGUUAAAGGGCUGCUUUGUAUUUGCUUCUGACAGGACUCUAGGUUUCACCAGUCCUGGGCCAAUUUUAUAUUAAUUUAUUGAUUUGGAGGUUACUACACCUACAUAAGUAGUGUAAAUUUGGAAUAUAUAACUCAUCUAUGGCAUUGAUUGGGCCUUGAAUUUCUCACAAGGGGCUAUACCCAGAACCCUGCUCAGAAAUUUCCUAUCAUCUUUGGGAGAUGGCGAAAACAUUUUCCUAGUUCUCCUUUCUUUGAGGGAGCUGCCCUUCCAGGGUCUCUGCUUUAUGCAGGGAUCGAUUACAGUUCCCCAUUUCUGGGUGGCCCAAGGCUUUCUUCCUGUUCUUGUGAACAUUAAAACCAUAACCGCUAGCAACCUCCAGGGUUGCUACAGUUCUGACUUAUGAGCUUACUGCUCUGCCUUCAUGUUGCCUGAAGCCCAGAAGGUUUAUAUUUCAAAGGAAACUUCGAGGUAGGUGAAAACUGAAUGAAACUCUAAGCUGACACCCAAGCAUUCUAAAAAAUUCGACAUUUUCAAGAUAAAGAGGCUCUUGUAGACCACAUAAAAUUCUUCUAAGAUGCUGUUAUACUUAUCAUAGAUAGGUGCUAAUGGGGCAUUUAAAUCCAAACAGCCUAGCUACCUGUGGUCCAAUGUUCAAUGAUAACCUCCAUAUAAAUCUCUUCUUAUAUUAAUGACAUUCAAAUUUUGCUAUAAAAGUCUUAAGGAAAAAAGGUUUACAAAUAAGAAGUUAAGAAAAAAGUUUCUAAGUGUUUGUUGAGUAAAAGAAUGAAUAUCUAUGUCAUGCAUGACUUUUGUUUUUCUUAACAACAAAACAUAAAACUCUCGUCCACAAAGAUUUAUUUCAAAUCCGAUUCCAUGACUAACUCAAACCUAAGGAAGAAAGAGGGACUUUUUUACAUGUAAAUGAAAAAUUGGGCGAGGCGCGGUGGCUCAUGCCUGUAAUUCCAGCACUUUGGGAGGUCCAUGUGGGCAGAUUACUCGAGGCCAGGAGUUCGAGACCAGGCUGGCCAACAUGGUGAAACAACAUUUCUACUAAAAAUACAACAAAAAUUAGCCAGGUAACAGGCACCUGUAAUCCUAGCUACUCAGGAGGCUGAAGCAGGAGAAUUGUUUGAACCCGGGAGGCGGAAGUUGCAGUGAGCCAAGAUUGUGCCACUGCACUCCAGGCUGGGCGACAGAGCAAGACUGUCUGAAAAAAAAAAAAAAAACAAAAAAAAAAAAACCAAAACCAUAGACUGGGCAUGGUGGCUCAUGCCUGUAAUCCCAACACUUUGGGAGACCCAGGCCAGGCGAGUGGAUCACUUGAGCCCAGCAGUUCAAGACCAGCUUGGGCAACAUAGAGAAACCCUGUCUCUGGAAAAAAAUUACAAAUAUUGGCCAGUGUGGUGGUGUGUUCCUGUGGUCCCUGUUACUCAGGAGGCUGAGGUGGUAAGAUCACUUGAGUCCAGGAGGUUGAGAGCCCAGGAGGUUGAGGCUGCAGUGAGCCUCAACUGCACCAUGCCUGGGCAAAAGAGCAAGACCCUGUUUCGGGUGGAAAAAAAAGAAGAAAACAAAAUUUUAUAAAGAUGAAGCAGAAAGAAAAAAUUGGCCUAGAAGAUAACAAACAAAAUGAUACAAAUUUAUAUUGAAUUUAUAUUCUAAAUAGCCACAUGAUGGAAGAUGGGACUACGACGUUUAUAAAAUUAACUAAAGAGUUUAUACAGGCUGGUGCGGUGGCUCACGCCUGUAAUCCCAGCACUUUGGGAGGCCGAGGCUGGUGGAUCACCUGAGGUCAGGAGUUUGAGACCAGCCUGGCCAAUACGGUGAAACCCCAUCUCUACCAAAAAUUACAAAAAAAAAUUAGUCGGGCGUGGUCGUGGGCGUCUGUAAUUCCCAGCUACUUGGAACCCGGGAGGCGGAGGUUGCAGUGAGCCAAGAUCAUGCCAAUGCACUGCAGCCUGGGCAACAAGAGCGAAACUCUGUCUCAAAAAAAAAAAAAAAAGAGUUUACACACAUACUCUUCCAAGAGUUAGAGUGGCUAAAGAAAUAUUUUCCUUUUCCUAGAUAAACUACAUCUUAAGACUACCAAAUUGUAAUAAUGAAAUGAUCUUGAGAAUUCACAUCACUCAUUUAGGCAUAAUAGUUAUAAGGCAAAAAAAAUUUUACUCUUUUGAUUUUGCUCUCACAGUCAUCAAAACUCUGUCAUUAAGUCAAUAUUGGGAAACAUGGCAGCAGCAUGGUUCCAAAUCUUCCAAGUGCUCAUUUAAGAAAUGAAAUAGAGGAAACAAACAAGGGGGAAAAAGUCCCUAUAAAGCUGUAAUUUCACCUUCUCCAAAACUACUGUCAAAGAAAGUCCACAGAACUGGUGAGAUGCUCUGGUGAUACAGUAGGCAGGCACAAGGAGUUCAGAGGAAACCAGUAGUAGUAGGUCUUAGAGACUGACCACAAAUAUUCAUUCUCAGAAGACAGCCCCAUUCCCAGAGUAGACCAAGAUCAAACAGGAGCAGCAUAUGAAUAAGGCUGGAAAAAAAAAAAAAA
rnacentral:lncRNA from 1 species